AAGUCGUAACAAGGUUUCCGUAGGUGAACCUGCGGAAGGAUCAUUAAUAAAUAUAUAAAACAAAUUUAUUAAUUUAAAAAUAAAAAGAUUCCUAUAUAUUAUUUUUAAUAAUAUUAAGGUUUCUUUUUAUAAUUUAAAAGUUAUUAAUUUUUUUUAAUAAUUUUUAAAUUAAAUAAGUAAAUUUUUAAUUUUAAAACUUGUUUUAAAACUUGUUUUAUUAUUAAAAAAUUACUUAUAUAAAAAAAACUGUAAUGUAAAUUACUUUUUAUAAUAUAUAUACAUUUGUAUCCUUAUUAAAUUAUAUACUUUUUUUAAAAUAUAUAUUUUUAUAUAUAUUUAAAAAUUAUAAUAUAACUUUUAACAAUGGAUCUCUUGGCUCUU
rnacentral:misc_RNA from 1 species